GCAGUCUGGCUGACUCCUCCUCUUCGUGUCCAGUCGGCUGCCUAGUCAACUCUUUCGACUCUGUUGAGCAUCUGCCAUAUCCUGGCACUGCUGAGGUACAGCAGCUUCCUGUUACAAUUGAGCUCCAGCAAAACCCUCACUAUGUUGUGCUGCAGUGACAUCCUGCCCACUUAGUCACAGAGCUGCAACUACCUGUGGUUUCCCCUGAGCUGCUGCAACAAUCUUCUGUCUCUGCUGAGCUGCAGCAAAACUCUGUUGUUGUGUUACUGCAGUUUUCUGCAGCAUUCACCCACGGUUCCUCCUUAGCUGAAGUACCUGUCGCCGGCGGCCCUGUCACUGCUCCAUUCCAGAUGCCCCGUGGCCGGACUCUGGUCUCGCACUCCAUCUAUUAGACUCUGGGCCUGAAGGAAAAAAAAAAAGACUCUGGGCCUGGUCUUGGGUUACAUCGCCGACCUCCUGCCCAACCUCCAGAGGGGCACCGUCGUCGCCGGCAGCCUCCACAAGGUUUACAUUUUCGCCACCAACCCCCAGAUGGGCUCUGUCUUUGCUGUCAUUUUCCUGGUCACCCUUCAGUCCUCUCCAGCCCUUUAGUCUGGCCUUCUGGUCGUUCUCAGGCGACCUCAGGUCUCCAGCUCCAAUUCAAUCCUGUCUAUUGUUUUUGAGGAACGUCAGGUAUUCUGUCCUUCACAACGGGAACCACAUGCAGCAGGAAAAAAAGUCUCUGCACACCGUCACAGAGUCCCACGAGUCCUGCUUGUGACCAACAACGACUCGUCAGUUACAUCUUCAAAGACCUCGGCUCUCACACUGUCACCACGGAGUCGAUGGAAACACACCACAGUCUCCACACAUCUGGAGCUCAAAUCAAUUACUACAAAUCCAGCAGAGCUCCAAAAGCCAGAGACCUGAUAGAACUUUAGGAAUCCAGGCGAGGAAUGUGACAUUGCCAGGGAGUUCAUUUGGUUUCAGAGUUCAGCUGGAACUCAACCUGUGGUCUUUGAAGGUGACAGGGACCUAGUAGACUGGAACAAAACCAGUUCUCCGGCUUUUUCAUGCCGUUUCUGUCAUGCUGGUUCUCCCAUCUGCAGGCCCAUAGAGACUUAGCUGUCCCAGUCGAGCUAAAUCAGAGCCAGAAUGCGACUGUGAUCCCAUCAGCAGGCCCACUGGUAGCUAUCUAUGAAGUCCAGCUUGUCUUGUGGAGAACUGGCAGCUUCGGUGGAAUGUGUAGGAGAAUUUCACAGCAUGAGAUGUGAUUAAUAACUGGGAGUUGUGGAAGUGAAUUAUGCUGCCAAAGCUAUUUGAUAUUACAUACAGAGGACCUAUUUCUGAUUAUUAUAUGAUGCUCUCUGUUUUUUCCAGUAUACAAUCUGAAAGAGUGACAAUAGAUUUUAGCAGGUUGUCCCUUGUAAAAUGAGCAUAUGUUGGUAAAAUAUGUGUUAUUUACGAAAAGAGGCAGAGUUGAGAACAAUAUUUCUUUUGCUAAACAUCACGUUAAACAUCACGUGUCUCAGUCUUAGACCCAAAGCUGAAGAACCUGUAUGUCUCCCAGGUCGAAGCUUUCCAGCUUUGCUAAAUCCUCACUAAGCUGAAAUGAAAAUGUGGUUGCAAGGCUGCAUUAAAUCCCUGACCUAAAC